GUGGUCGACUGCCGUAGAAACUUGGAUGGAGUCUGGUUAUGGUACAAGUCCUGCUGUUGGGGAAGCUCGAUCAUUAAUGAAGUCUGAAGGAAGUUUGGAGUAGAGUCGGUUGUGGCUGGAAGAAGUCUGGAAGAGAUUCGGAGAAUAGUCGAUCACUGCAGAAAAUCUGCUGAUAUUGAAGCCCAAAGAGCAUUUGGAGCAGCCCAGUACGUGAAUGGAGGGGCUCAUUAUCAGAGAAGUUUGGAUGGUAAUAUAGAAGCUCGGAUGGUCGAGGGAGUUCAGAAAGACGCCACACAAGGUCGGAAGCCGGAGAAGCCCUGGAAGAGUCGACCGUUUACCAACUUCGGCUGAGGUUAUUUUACACCCAACAAGAACAAUCAUUGUUCUUUGCUUUUAUUUCAAAAUCUUGUUC
rnacentral:lncRNA from 1 species